rnacentral:rRNA from 1 species
CUACGGGACGCACCAGUGGGGAAUAUUGCACAAUGGAGGAAACUCUGAUGCAGCAACGCCGCGUGGAGGAUGACACUUUUCGGAGCGUAAACUCCUUUUAUAUAGGAAGAAGAUGACGGUACUAUAUGAAUAAGCGCCGGCUAACUCCGUGCCAGCAGCCGCGGUAAUACGGAGGGCGCAAGCGUUACUCGGAAUCACUGGGCGUAAAGAGCGUGUAGGCGGAUUAAAAAGUCAGAAGUGAAAUCCUAUAGCUUAACUAUAGAACUGCUUCUGAAACUCUUAAUCUAGAAUAUGGGAGAGGUAGAUGGAAUUUCUGGUGUAGGGGUAAAAUCCGUAGAGAUCAGAAGGAAUACCGAUUGCGAAGGCGAUCUACUAGAACAUUAUUGACGCUGAGACGCGAAAGCGUGGGGAGCAAACAGGAUUAGAUACCCGGGUAGUC